CGCUGUAAACGGUGGGUACUAGGUGUGGGGUCCAUUCCACGGAUUCUGUGCCGUAGCUAACGCAUUAAGUACCCCGCCUGGGGAGUACGGCCGCAAGGCUAAAACUCAAAGGAAUUGACGGGGCCCCGCACAAGCGGCGGAGCAUGNGGAUUAAUUCGAUGCAACGCGAAGAACCUUACCUGGGNUUGACAUGCACUGGAUGCGGCCAGAGAUGGUUGUUCCCUUUGUGGCUGGUGUGCAGGUGGUGCAUGGUUGUCGUCAGCUCGUGUCGUGAGAUGUUGGGUUAAGUCCCGCAACGAGCGCAACCCUUGUCUCGUGUUGCCAGCAUUUGGUUGGGGACUCGCGGGAGACUGCCGGGGUUAACUCGGAGGAAGGUGGGGAUGACGUCAAAUCAUCAUGCCCCUUAUGUCCAGGGCUUCACACAUGCUACAAUGGCUGGUACAGAGAGUUGCGAUACCGUGAGGUGGGGCUAAUCUCGUAAAGCCAGUCUCAGUUCGGAUUGGAGUCUGCAACUCGACUCCAUGAAGUCGGAGUCGCUAGUAAUCGCAGAUCAGCAANGCUGCGGUGAAUACGUUCCCGGGNCUUGUACACACCGCCCGUCANGUCAUGAAAGUNGGUAACACCCGAAGCCGGUGGCCUAAACU
rnacentral:rRNA from 1 species